CCUACGGGAGGCAGCAGUAGGGAAUAUUGCGCAAUGAGCGAAAGCUUGACGCAGCGACACAGCGUGCACGAUGAAGGUCUUCGGAUCGUAAACCGCUGUCAGCAGGGAAGAACGUUCGCAAUGCGAAUCAGCAGUAGAUUGACGGUACCUGCUCAGAAAGCGACGGCUAACUACGUGCCAGCAGCCGCGGUAAUACAGAGGGCGCGAGCGUUAUUCGGAAUUAUUGGGCGUAAAGCGGUCGUAGGCGGUAUGUCAAGUCUGGGGGGAAAUCCACGCGCUCAACGUGGGAACCGCUUUGGAAACUGGCAAACUGGAGUUUGUGAGAGGAUAGCGGAAUUCCAGGUGAAGGAGUGAAAUGCGUAGAUAUAUGGAAGAACAUCAGAGGCGAAGGCGGCUUUCUGGCACUUAACUGACGCUGAGGAGCGAAAGCGUGGGGAGCAAACAGGAUUAGAUACCCCUGUAGUC
rnacentral:rRNA from 1 species